AUACGUAGGGUGCGAGCGUUGUCCGGAAUUACUGGGCGUAAAGAGCUCGUAGGUGGUUUGUCGCGUCGUCUGUGAAAUUCCGGGGCUUAACUCCGGGCGUGCAGGCGAUACGGGCAUAACUUGAGUACUGUAGGGGAGACUGGAAUUCCUGGUGUAGCGGUGAAAUGCGCAGAUAUCAGGAGGAACACCGGUGGCGAAGGCGGGUCUCUGGGCAGUAACUGACGCUGAGGAGCGAAAGCAUGGGUAGCGAACAGGAUUAGAUACCCUGGUAGUCCAUGCCGUAAACGGUGGGCGCUAGGUGUAGGGGUCUUCCACGACUUCUGUGCCGUAGCUAACGCAUUAAGCGCCCCGCCAGGGGAGUACGGCCGCAAGGCUAAAACUCAAAUGAAUUGACGGGG
rnacentral:rRNA from 1 species